AAAUUGAAGAGUUUGAUCAUGGCUCAGAUUGAACGCUGGCGGCAGGCCUAACACAUGCAAGUCGAACGGUAACAGGAAGCAGCUUGCUGCUUCGCUGACGAGUGGCGGACGGGUGAGUAAUGUCUGGGAAACUGCCUGAUGGAGGGGGAUAACUACUGGAAACGGUAGCUAAUACCGCAUAAUGUCGCAAGACCAAAGAGGGGGACCUUCGGGCCUCUUGCCAUCGGAUGUGCCCAGAUGGGAUUAGCUUGUUGGUGGGGUAACGGCUCACCAAGGCGACGAUCCCUAGCUGGUCUGAGAGGAUGACCAGCCACACUGGAACUGAGACACGGUCCAGACUCCUACGGGAGGCAGCAGUGGGGAAUAUUGCACAAUGGGCGCAAGCCUGAUGCAGCCAUGCCGCGUGUAUGAAGAAGGCCUUCGGGUUGUAAAGUACUUUCAGCGGGGAGGAAGGGAGUAAAGUUAAUAUCUUUGCUCAUUGACGUUACCCGCAGAAGAAGCACCGGCUAACUCCGUGCCAGCAGCCGCGGUAAUACGGAGGGUGCAAGCGUUAAUCGGAAUUACUGGGCGUAAAGCGCACGCAGGCGGUU
rnacentral:rRNA from 1 species